GGAUCUAUCUGAUUAUUCAAUAAACACGUGUACUUUCUUUUCCCUUACCAAACCACGUGUACUAUUUUAGAUGCACAGUUCAUCUCUCCACUUCUCUAAUUCUCUCUUUCACUGCUCAGCAAUUCUCUUCUGCUUCCCCUAGUUCAAGGUGUCAUCUUUAUUUGGGGGAGUUUCUCAAUUUUUACGCUUCCAAUUAAUAAGGUGAAUAGGUUCCUUGCACAAGAUUAUUGGGAGGGGAAUUGGUACUCAAAAAUAAAACAAGAUUACCAUAUUGUAAUUGAUACUUCCUAUUCCAAUUGUGGGAAUUUAGCUUUGGCAUGCAAUGUGUUUGAUUUAACUCCCGACAGAAAUGAACAAUCAACACCAUCAAAGAAAAUAUAAAAAGCCAACUCCCUUAAUUAAGCAUUUACCGUUCAAAAUGCUUGGUUAGCCAAAGCUUCUGCUAUGAAGUUUAUUACCAUCUGAAUUCUUCGGUUACAACCUUAGUGAACUUGUGGAGCUUCGAAAAGGUUUGGAUAAUCACUAUUCCAGAGGAGCUCAACUCUAUCCAGAUAUGACAAUAAAAUUGAAAUAAUGGUGUAAUUAUUAAUGGGGCAAGUCCUUGGUGGUAAUCAUAUAAGAAAGACCUCAGUUUACGAUUUGCAACAAAAUGCUUAUUAUAUCUUUAUGUUCUUUGUAUUAUAGUGAAUUUAUAACAAUUCAUUUUUAUCUUCAUGCUCUUUGUAUUACAGUUGAUUUAUAAGAAUUCAGAGAGUUUGAUAAACAAAUUUCUAAUAUGGCGGUUUUGUUGUUUUUAAACUCUGGAUGCUAUA